GUGAGGAAUAUUGGUCAAUGGACGAGAGUCUGAACCAGCCAAGUCGCGUGAAGGAAGACGGUUCUAUGAAUUGUAAACUUCUUUUGUGCAGGAAUAAAGUGGGUAACGUGUAACCUUUUGUAUGUACUGUACGAAUAAGGAUCGGCUAACUCCGUGCCAGCAGCCGCGGUAAUACGGAGGAUCCGAGCGUUAUCCGGAUUUAUUGGGUUUAAAGGGUGCGUAGGUGGAUUGAUAAGUCAGCGGUGAAAGUUUGCAGCUUAACUGUAAAAUUGCCGUUGAAACUGGCGGUCUUGAGUGCAAAUGAGGUAGGCGGAAUGUGUUGUGUAGCGGUGAAAUGCUUAGAUAUAACACAGAACUCCGAUUGCGAAGGCAGCUUACUGGGAUGCAACUGACACUGAUGCACGAAAGCGUGGGUAUCAAACAGGAUUAGAAACCCGAGUAGUCC
rnacentral:rRNA from 1 species